rnacentral:rRNA from 1 species
UACGUAGGGGGCAAGCGUUGUCCGGAUUUAUUGGGCGUAAAGAGCGUGUAGGCGGCUGGGUAGGUCCGUUGUGAAAACUCGAGGCUCAACCUCGAGACGCCGAUGGAAACCCUCCAGCUAGAGUCCGGAAGAGGAGAGUGGAAUUCCUGGUGUAGCGGUGAAAUGCGCAGAUAUCAGGAAGAACACCCGUGGCUAAGGCGGCUCUCUAGUACGGUACUGACGCUGAGGAACGAAAGCGUGGGGAGCGAACAGG